UACUUUAUAGCUGUGGGACCCUAGGCCAGUCACUUAACUCCCAUUGCCCAGCCCUUAUGCCUCUUCUGCCUUGGAAUCAAUGCAUGGUACGGAUUCUAUGCAGGUAAGGGUUAAAACAAAAUGAAAAGAAACUACUGCUCUGAUCCCCGCUCCGCUCCCCCAGCCCAGCAGUAAAGAAAGCAUCCGAGCCCCUGAGGGGGUACUUGGGGGAAGCAGGACACGCCAAGACUGGUAAGAGUUAGUGGAAGGGGAUGAUCUGUCUACCGGAGGGAGCAGAGGGGAGGAUGUUCGGCUCCAUCAGACACAGCCACUAUGUGUCGUCUUUGGGGCGAGACCUUCCCUCUCCCUGGGCCUCAGUUUUCCCAUCUGUAACAACAGGGGGCGGGGUUGAACUGCCUUAUGAGGCUUGGAGAGUCAGUCUGUGAUUCUGACAGUCUGGUGGACCUGGGCACGUAUCACCCCCUUGCGUUGGGCCUCAAGGGUAAAUAGGGGUGAAUUUAAAUUCAAAGAGAGGGAAGUGCCGGAGCCUGUUUCAAGCAAGCACUUGGUAAUGCCUGGCGGAAGUCCCGUUUGGUGACCCCGCCCCCGCGUUGAUGGCGGCGCCUUCAGCUCCUUCCUAUCCCGGAUGUUGGUAAUAGCUGUCCUGACGUUACGUGCGCUCGCCCGCCGCUAGGCCAGCCUGGAGAUGUCUUUUAUCUUCAGCGCAGAAGUUGCAGACUUGGAGAUGGCUCUGGCUUUUCUUAGUGGAGGUGGUGCAGGUAAAGGACUGGUACCCAAUCUACCGCCCCCGCUGUACUCACGUGACUCCUGCCCUCCAAUCUGAGCUCAGAGGCCCUACAUGUCUUUCAUCUCGUUACCCUGGACAUCCCUCUCUUGCCUCAAUUACCCUCUUUAAAACGAAGCGAACCUUAGGCCCAGGCUGUGCCUCCCCGCCGAGGGAAUCUACCGACCUUCUCCUCUCCCCAUUAGUAAGCCUCCCUUUCUCCUGUAGAUACACCAUCCAAACUUGAUGGGGACUUCACGCCUGCCUGUGAACUGAUUGCUAACUCUGGGGCAUAAGGGAUGCGGACUGCCACACGUUACUGUAUACUUUCGAUUUACAUCCAUCCACAGUUCCCCAAGAGGACGGAAACUCCGUGUCUUUGUAUGCCAGGCCCCAAUCCUCUGAAGGCUUGUUUUUAUUUUUUAAACCUUUACCCCUAAAGACUAGGCAAUGGGGUUCAAGUGACUUGCCCAGGGUCACACAGGACAGUUUGAGGCUGAACCCGAGCUCGGAUCUCCUGACUCCAGGCCUGACUCCUUAUCCACUGAGCCAUCCAGCUGCCUCUAAUAGCUUUACUGAAUGGUUGAAUCCUCAAAAUGAGUGUUCAGUUACUUGAAGAAUGAACACAUGAAGCAUUUUAUUAAAUGUUGCCCGUUUUAUGUGCAAAGUACCAAGAGAAGAGUAAGCAGUCCCAGAAGAGCAUCCCCACCUCAUUUGGACCCCAGCUACUUUGCAGAUACUAGAAGGUCCCUGUUUUGGAGGCAGCAGUGGAUGGGGCACCAGGCCUCAAGCGGGGAAGACCUGGGCUCCAGGCUGCCUUCCUUCGCUUCCCAGCUGUGGCAAGUCCCCCAACUGACCAGCCCUUGCUUGCUGUCUUCUUAGAACUGAUUCUAGGUCAGAAGGUGAGGAAGUUGGAGCUCCGUGAUGUCUAAACAACACACGCUAAUAAAGGUGUCAGGGAGAGAACCAGGAUUUGAACCCGACUCUUCUAGCUGCUCUUGGCGCCAGGCUGCAGAAUAUAGAAUGUCAGACCCAGGAGGGCCCUUCCGGGUCAUCGAGUCCAGCCCUCUCAUUGGGAGAAUCGAGAGUUGGUGGAGAAAGAUGAAAGAGAGAGAAGGCAGAUCUCUGUUCGAAAAAAACAACAAUCAACCAACAAAAGAAGGUUAAGUUCCUUGAGGCCAUCAACCUUAUUUUUACCUUUCUUUGAAUUUCUAGGAAUUUGUGUGUGUCACAUGUGUCAUACAUAGUAAGCUCCUAGGAAAUGUAUAUGAUGAAUCUUUUUUUGGGGGGGGGUUGCUGGGGGGGGGGGGGCAACCAUUUAUCAUUGUCUUUGCAUUUCCAGUACCUAACAUAGUACUUUGAAUGUAGUAAGCUCAACCUGUGUCAAAGCUAGAUCUCCUAACUCCAAGAAUAGCUUUUUAUUAUAAAUUACAUGGCCUGGUUUGAGAACAAUUUCUGUGACCAAUAAAUAAGGAUCAAUAAGGAACUGGAUUAAAGGAAGGGAUUAAUUCACCGAUAUACACUUUACUUAUUUUAGACAUAUGUAAUUUGAAUCUGUUACCCUAAAAACUACUCUCCCCAGCAAAAUUAUGAUUCCCAGGAACCUAAUCUUUUCCUGUCGUUAUGGGUUGGUGUAGACAGGAGAUAAAUUUGGUGGAUUUCCCUCUUUUGGCUCUUUUUCCUUUCUGUGGCAGCUUUGGUGGAGAGGGGAUUUUUUGAGCAGGUAGAAAACUUAGUCACAUGGUUCUAUUUAAGUCAGAUAAUAAACUUUAUAAAUAUAAUACUUGAAGUAUUGGAUAUUCAAAUUUAAAUCCUACAGGUACAUUAAAAUCUCCAAUAAUGACAUUGCAACUAUUGAAAAACCUGAAUAGAGUACUUAAUUUCUUCCUUGCCUAGGAAAAAUAAGCAUUUUAAUUAAAAAAAACAAAACCUUCUCAUUAAUAAUUAGAGAAAUGCAAAUUAAAACAACCCUGAAGUUCUACUGGAUUGGCUAAGAUAACAAAAAAGGAAAAUGACAACUACUAGAGGAGAUAGGAGAAAACAGGUACAGUGAGGCACUACUGAACCUAUGAACUUAGUUCUGUCAUUCUAGAAAGAAAUUUAGAACUGUACCCCACAGAGUAAACUAGCAAUACCAUUGUUAGGUUCCUACCUAAUUAGAUGGCCCAAUGGGCAGAUUGUGGUCCUGGAGUAAGGAAGACUGAAUUAAUAUAUGACUUCACAUUUUUCAUAACUAUAUGACCCUGGUAAAGUCACUGAAUCACUAGCUGCUUCCAGGUUCUUCAAUCGAAAAACUGGGAUAAUAAUAAUAGUGACUAUUGGGGGCAGCUGGGUGGCUCAGUGGAUAGAAAGCCAAGUCUAGAGAUGGGAGGUCUUGGGUUCAAAAGGGACCUCAGACCCUUUCUUCGCUGUGUGCCUGAGCAAGUUACUUACCUCCCAUUGCCUAGCCCUUACUGCUGUUGUCCCUUGAAAUGAAUACGAAGCAUUGAUUCUAAGACAAGGUGAGGGUUUAAAAAUAACUCAGAUGUUUUUUAAUAAUCAUUGAGAACAAUGACCAAUAAUGAUUCCAGAGGACCAGUGAUAACGAAUGUUACUUACCUUCUGACACACUGAGGGAUUAAUGUGCAAAAUAGAAAACACAUUAUUGGACAAAGCCAUUAUGGGAAUUUGUUUUGCUUGACUACAUUUAUUUUUACAAGGGUUGUUCUCCCUGUGGUAGGGAGAAAGAAAUAAAUAUUUGAUGAUUGAAAAAAUAAAA